rnacentral:lncRNA from 1 species
AUAUUGUCUCUGGCAAAGAGUACAUAUGACUGCAAGUUCCAAGCUGGUCAUCCCCAUGGUGGGGGCCUGUCAGUAAGAGGGAAAGAUCUGACUCAACUGGGUCCAAUGAAAUGUAAACAACCUCAAGUUCAUCAUUUCCAACAUUGUGACAUAAAGAACUCCAAUGCGCUUAUUUUCUCAAAUGCAGUGUAUAACCUGACUUCAGUGGCUUAGAAAAUACAUGGUUAUUGGAAGUGGUUACAAUCUGGAUUCAACUAAGUUCAGUUAUCUGAUAUGUGAAAGGCUAGGAGUUCACCCACUGAGCUUUCAUGGAUAGGCCAUAGGAUAGCAUGGGGAUUCCAGUUUGCCUGUGUGAAGUGGUAUGAAUGUUAUGGUGUCUACCUGAAAAAUCUGAAUUCAGAACUUGAUACUGAUGCAGAAAAGGAGCAGUGGAAGGAGGUAAACAAGCAGGUAGUUGACAGUGCCUAUUAAAUGAUCAAACUAAAAUGUUUGUAUGUCUUGAGCCAUCCACCUUUCUGUGGUAGACUUGCCCAGCACAUCCCAUUUCAACCAUGUUUAAGGAUAACUAUGGAAUCAAGGAUGAUGUCUUCCUCAGUGUCCCUUGUGCUGUGGGACAAAAUGCAACUUCAGAUGUUGAGAAGAUGAUGCUUACUCCUCAAGAGGAAGCUCAUUAAAGAAGAGUACAGUUACAGUCUAGAUAAUCCAGAAAGAACUACAG